UGGGGAAUAUUGGGCAAUGGGCGCAAGCCUGACCCAGCAACGCCGCGUGAGGGAAGAAGGUCUUCGGAUCGUAAACCUCAGUCAGGAGGGAAGAAGUGGGUUGUCCUGAACAGGGACGAUCUUUGACGGUACCUCCAGAGGAAGCACCGGCCAACUCCGUGCCAGCAGCCGCGGUAAUACGGAGGGUGCAAGCGUUAUUCGGAAUCACUGGGCGUAAAGCGCACGUAGGCGGCUUUGCAAGUCAGGUGUGAAAGCCCUCGGCUCAACCGAGGAAUUGCACUUGAAACUGCAGAGCUGGAGUUCGGGAGAGGGUGGCGGAAUUCCAGGUGUAGGAGUGAAAUCCGUAGAUAUCUGGAGGAACACCAGAGGCGAAGGCGGCCACCUGGACCGAAACUGACGCUGAGGUGCGAAAGCGUGGGGAGCAAACA
rnacentral:rRNA from 1 species